rnacentral:rRNA from 1 species
CUCCUACGGGUGGCAGCAGUUGGGAAUCUUGCACAAUGGGGGAAACCCUGAUGCAGCGACGCCGCGUGGAGGAAGAAGGGUCUAGGCUCGUAAACUCCUUUUUCAGGGAAAGACUUAGGACGGUACCCUGAGAAUAAGCUCCGGCUAACUACGUGCCAGCAGCCGCGGUAAGACGUAGGGAGCGAGCGUUGUCCGGAUUUACUGGGCGUAAAGAGCACGUAGGCGGUCUGUUAAGUGAGAAGUGAAAUCUCCAGCGCUCAACGCGGAAACGGCUUUUCAUACUGGCAGACUUGAGGGAUGCAGAGGCAAGUAGAAUUCCUGGUGUACCGGUGACAUGGGUUGAUAUCAGGAGGAAUACCAAUGGCGAAGGCAGCUUGCUGGGCAUCAUCUGACGCUGAGGUGCGGAAGCGUGGGUAGCAAACAGGAUUAGAUACCCUGGUAGUCCACGCCCUAAACGAUGGAUACUAGGCGUAUGGGGUAUCGACCCCCCAUGUGCCGUAGCUAACGCAUUA